AAUUUUUAUUUUCUAUUUUAUUAUUGUAAUGAACUUUUAAAACAAGCUGGUUCCAAUUUUAAACAAACUUUAGCAACAAUCUCCAGCUGCACAGUAGAGUGAGGUGCUUAGACCUCAUUUGUGGCUAAUUUGAACAACUAAAAAGGUGUGAUAGCAAAUAUUAACAAGACAACUCUACAAAUUUUCCAAAGUAUUGCAAAUUUUGAAAUUUUUUGAUUUUAGGUUUCGUUUGUAAUGUUUUCAAAUUAAACUUUAAUAUAAAGACGAGCUAGACGUACGUAAAGACAGCGAUUUGGUCACUAAGAUUGUUAGCUGCAUUAUGUUAGACAAAUGGACUUUAUAAGCGCUUUGGUCAGACUUUGCAGAAUAUGCUAGUCAAAUACGUAUCCUCUAAAAAGGAACAAUGGAGUGUUUUUUCAGAUGCAUGUGCUUUUGCGUACAAUACAUUUUGCUAUAAAUCCACAAAGUUCACAUCAUUUUACCUGAUGUAUGGUUGGCAAGCAUAUCUUCCAAUUGACGUAGAUUUCCAAACAAAGUCUUCGGAAGAAUUUUGUGCAUAUUGUUUUCGAUUAAAGCAUCCAGACAUAUCUUUAAGAGAAUAUAAAUUAGUAUUAGAACCAAAAACCAAUGAUUCAAUGUGGGUUAUGCAAGGAAGGGUUCCAUAUAGAAUGCAUUAAAUCGCCAAAAACAGUAAUCUCUUUUGGUGAUGUGGUUGUGAGGAGGUUUUAUUUUGGCUUGAUAUAUUUGUAAUAACUUAUUUUAAAAACUUGUUAUUUUUUGUUA